rnacentral:rRNA from 1 species
GGGCGGCGCAGCUUACACAUGCAAGUCGAGCGCACUCUUCGGAGUGAGCGGCGGACGGGUUAGUAACGCGUGGGAACGUGCCCUUCUCUAAGGAAUAGCCACUGGAAACGGUGAGUAAUACCUUAUACGCCCUUCGGGGGAAAGAUUUAUCGGAGAAGGAUCGGCCCGCGUUAGAUUAGAUAGUUGGUGGGGUAAUGGCCUACCAAGUCUACGAUCUAUAGCUGGUUUUAGAGGAUGAUCAGCAACACUGGGACUGAGACACGGCCCAGACUCCUACGGGAGGCAGCAGUGGGGAAUCUUGGACAAUGGGCGCAAGCCUGAUCCAGCCAUGCCGCGUGAGUGAUGAAGGCCUUAGGGUCGUAAAGCUCUUUCGCCAGAGAUGAUAAUGACAGUAUCUGGUAAAGAAACCCCGGCUAACUCCGUGCCAGCAGCCGCGGUAAUACGGAGGGGGUUAGCGUUGUUCGGAAUUACUGGGCGUAAAGCGCACGUAGGCGGAUCAGAAAGUAUAGGGUGAAAUCCCAGGGCUCAACCCUGGAACUGCCUUGUAAACUCCUGGUCUUGAGUUCGAGAGAGGUGAGUGGAAUUCCGAGUGUAGAGGUGAAAUUCGUAGAUAUUCGGAGGAACACCAGUGGCGAAGGCGGCUCACUGGCUCGAUACUGACGCUGAGGUGCGAAAGUGUGGGGAGCAAACAGGAUUAGAUACCCUGGUAG